UCAUCUGUGGAUCCUCCGGGGUUAAAAAUCCAUGGACACAAUCUCUAAAUCCUAUUCCAGUUCCUAUGGUCUUAGAACACAAAGAAAUGGUGUUACCUGGCAAGAGAUCUUCUGUCUUUUAUGAAAAAUUAGACAAAGGGGGCGCUGUUUUGGGGAAAUGGCAGUCAGAACUCCCUCAGAGGCCGAUCUAAGGGUUCCUGGCAGAAGGGGCCAUCUUCAGAGGCUCUGGUUGCGUGACUGUUUGGAGUUUGAUGGCCUGAAGAUGGAAGAAGCUAUUCAGGGAAGGAGUGACUUCCAGCUUUGAAACAAGAACUUUAGAAACUUCAGAAGCAUAUGGAAAAGGAAACAAGAAAAAUGUAAUCAAGCAAGCCUCUUGAAAUGAUACAAUAAUAUUGUAGCAGAAUUAGAUCCAUAGAAUUUAUACAAUUAAA
rnacentral:sRNA from 1 species